rnacentral:rRNA from 1 species
UACGAAGGGAGCUAGCGUUGUUCGGAAUCACUGGGCGUAAAGCGCACGUAGGCGGAUGUGUCAGUCAGGGGUGAAAUCCCGGAGCUCAACUUCGGAACUGCCUUUGAUACAGCACAUCUGGAGUCCGGAAGAGGUGGGUGGAAUUCCUAGUGUAGAGGUGAAAUUCGUAGAUAUUAGGAAGAACACCGGUGGCGAAGGCGGCCCACUGGUCCGGUACUG